rnacentral:rRNA from 1 species
UACGGAGGGGGCUAGCGUUGUUCGGAAUUACUGGGCGUAAAGGGCGCGUAGGCGGUCUGUCGCGUCGGGCGUGAAAGCCCUGGGCUCAACCUGGGAUGUGCGCACGAUACCGACAGGCUGGAGACCGGGAGAGGAGAGUGGAAUUCCCAGUGUAGAGGUGAAAUUCGUAGAUAUUGGGAAGAACACCGGUGGCGAAGGCGGCUCUCUGGCCCGGUUCUGACGCUGAGGCGCGAAAGCGUGGGGAGCAAACAGG